GAGCGUUAUAUUAGUUUUGAUUUUGAGUUUGAGUUAUUUCGUCUGUUUGUAAAAAAGAAAAAUUACACAAAUAUCGGUUUAUGAGCUAGUUUUUUUCAAGUGCGUCGGAUGAUCUAGCUAAAUUAUGUAGUGUAUAUAGUGUUUUGUGUUCUGUGCUGCAAAUAAUAUUCUCGAUUAUAGACGAUACAGUGAUGACAAAGGUUGUCGACACGCCUGGAAUUGUUACAUUGCAAUCAUUUCGCUACGAGAGUCGCCUAUAGAUGACAUCCAGUGCGUCGACUUUAGAUUACUUUGAGUACAGUAAUAAUGGUAUUCGUGUAUGGAUGGGUGCGACAGUUUUCAUUACUUCAUCUUGUGUUCAGUUUAUGUGAUGCAUUGUAUUCAAAAUUGAUGUCGACUUGUGGAUCAUAAAAUGAUGAAGUUUUCAUCCGCACACUUUAUCU